rnacentral:lncRNA from 1 species
UGCGCCUCAAGGUGCUGGCUGCUAAGGAGGCGGCGGUGCAGGACAUCAUCACUGACGCGAAAGCCCGUCUGCGUGAUGUGUCCAAAAACCCUUCCACCUACAAGAAGCUCCUUCAGGACCUGCUGGUGCAGGUGGGUCUGGGAGCCUAGCGGCGCCGCCGCCGCGGGUGACGCCGGCUGUCCGGUGUGUGUGGAGCUUGUCAGCAGUAAUACCCCGCUGACAUCCACCCUCCGUGGAAGAGAUUUCCAAGUGUGCAAACCACCAAACGCUGUCUGCCGUGCAGGCCAUGCGCAAGCUGAAUGAGAAGAGCGCUAGCGUGCGCGUGCGGCAAGUGGACCUGCUGCUGGUCAAGGAGGUGGUGGAGCCGGCGCGCAAGGCGUACACGGCCAUGUUUGGCACGGAGGCACCCGCGCUCACCGUCGACCAAACCACCUUCCUUCCGCCUCCACCCACCGACGGCGACGAGGUGGAGUCCUGGUGGGUGUGGGCGGCGACGCCAGUGUGACUGGCGGGAGGCUCUGCGCGUUGGGCACACUAUUCUUUGCGCUUUCGGGCUCCAGGGUGUGGGAGUGCAGAAGUGUGUGUCCUGCAAGCUUCUCCCGCCAUGUCCAUGCUGCAAGGUAGCUCCGCGACCUUGCGCCCCUGGUUUACCAGCCACGCAUCGCGCUGCGCGUCCACGCUGGUGCUGACUUUGAUGUCUCCAGCUGACCUUGCAGCUGCCAUGCGCCUCCCUGUCUGUGGCCGCAAUGCCCCAUCCGUGCUGAUGUGCCUUUGCCG